rnacentral:rRNA from 1 species
GGGGGGGGGGGGGGGGGGGGGGGGGGGGGGGAGGGCGGGGGGAGAGGCGGGGAGCUGGCGGGUCUGACGUGAGCGGCGGACGGGUGAGUAACACGGGGAUAACCUACCUAUAAGACUGGGAUAACUGCGGGAAACCGGAGCUAAUACCGGAUAAUAUAUUGAACCGCAUGGUUCAAUAGUGAAAGACGGUUUUGCUGUCACUUAUAGAUGGAUCCGCGCCGCAUUAGCUAGUUGGUAAGGUAACGGCUUACCAAGGCGACGAUGCGUAGCCGACCUGAGAGGGUGAUCGGCCACACUGGAACUGAGACACGGUCCAGACUCCUACGGGAGGCAGCAGUAGGGAAUCUUCCGCAAUGGGCGAAAGCCUGACGGAGCAACGCCGCGUGAGUGAUGAAGGUCUUCGGAUCGUAAAACUCUGUUAUUAGGGAAGAACAAAUGUGUAAGUAACUAUGCACGUCUUGACGGUACCUAAUCAGAAAGCCACGGCUAACUACGUG